rnacentral:rRNA from 1 species
CUGGGAUAACUUCGGGAAACCGGAGCUAAUACCGGAUAAUCCUUUCCCUCACAUGAGGGAAAGCUGAAAGACGGUUUCGGCUGUCACUUACAGAUGGGCCCGCGGCGCAUUAGCUAGUUGGUGAGGUAACGGCUCACCAAGGCAACGAUGCGUAGCCGACCUGAGAGGGUGAUCGGCCACACUGGGACUGAGACACGGCCCAGACUCCUACGGGAGGCAGCAGUAGGGAAUCUUCCGCAAUGGACGAAAGUCUGACGGAGCAACGCCGCGUGAACGAUGAAGGCUUUCGGGUCGUAAAGUUCUGUUGUCAGGGAAGAACAAGUACCGGAGUAACUGCCGGUACCUUGACGGUACCUGACCAGAAAGCCACGGCUAACUACGUGCCAGCAGCCGCGGUAAUACGUAGGUGGCAAGCGUUGUCCGGAAUUAUUGGGCGUAAAGCGCGCGCAGGCGGUUCCUUAAGUCUGAUGUGAAAGCCCCCGGCUCAACCGGGGAGGGUCAUUGGAAACUGGGGAACUUGAGUGCAGAAGAGGAGAGCGGAAUUUCCACGUGUAGCGGUGAAAUGCGUAGAGAUGUGGAGGAACACCAGUGGCGAAGGGCGGCUCUCUGGUCUGUAACUGACGCUGAGGCGCGAAAGCGUGGGGAGCGAACAGGAUUAGAUACCCUGGUAGUCCACGCCGUAAACGAUGAGUGCUAAGUGUUAGAGGGUUUCCGCCCUUUAGUGCUGCAGCAAACGCAUUAAGCACUCCGCCUGGGGAGUACGGCCGCAAGGCUGAAACUCAAAGGAAUUGACGGGGGCCCGCACAAGCGGUGGAGCAUGUGGUUUAAUUCGAAGCAACGCGAAGAACCUUACCAGGUCUUGACAUCCUCUGACAACCCUAGAGAUAGGGCGUUCCCCUUCGGGGGACAGAGUGACAGGUGGUGCAUGGUUGUCGUCAGCUCGUGUCGUGAGAUGUUGGGUUAAGUCCCGCAACGAGCGCAACCCUUGAUCUUAGUUGCCAGCAUUCAGUUGGGCACUCUAAGGUGACUGCCGGUGACAAACCGGAGGAAGGUGGGGAUGACGUCAAAUCAUCAUGCCCCUUAUGACCUGGGCUACACACGUGCUACAAUGGAUGGAACAAAGGGCAGCGAAGCCGCGAGGUGAAGCCAAUCCCAUAAAUCCAUUCUCAGUUCGGAUUGCAGGCUGCAACUCGCCUGCAUGAAGCCGGAAUCGCUAGUAAUCGCGGAUCAGCAUGCCGCGGUGAAUACGUUCC